GUAUGGGAGUUGCUUUGGCUUUUGGCCAAUCUCAAAAAAAAAAAAAAAAAAAACAAAAAAACCAAACAACCAAAAAACCAAAGCAAAACAAAACAAACAAACAGAAAGACACAAAGAAAAAUAAAAAACAAUAAUUAGAACUCAAAAGCAAGGAGGUUACAUGACUAUGCCCCAUGCUUCCACAGCUAUGCUUCAUGCUGCCUGUUGGAGGGCAAGUGUCUUCACUAAGGGACUUCUGGGAAGGCAGAGUACAUCAUCUCACUUGGGAUCAGGGGAUAACUAUCCCUUCCUUCUUAGCUUGGCUUCAGAUGAUUCAGAUUCCUAGAAGAAUGGACUCCUGGCCAGGUAACUAAAAGGCCCAGGAUCAGGAUAGAAUUUAUAAUCUAUUCGUUUGACAAGGAGAAAGCACUUGCCCUGUGGCCUUGGCCUUUUCCAAUGCUAGUUUAAGUGUGGGGGAGUGUCUAAGCUGAUGCUUAAAAUUCUUCAGUUACCUGGGAAACAGAGGGAGAGGUCCAGAGCCUUAAAGACCUUCAAGGCUGUUGCUGCUGCUGUUUUUGUUGUUGUUGUUGCUGCUGCUGCUGCUCCUCCUCCUCUUCUUCCUCCUCCUCCUCUUCCUCCUCCUCCUCCUACUACUACUACUACUACUACUACUACUACUUCUAGCAUGAAUAUCAUUACAACUGAAAACAGGAUUUCAGCAUAAGUUUAGAGGGAACAGAAACAUUCAGUCUCCAGUGUUCUGAUUACCACCCUUGCUAAUGAGCCCUUUAUCAUCUUUGACAGGUAUGGAUGCAAGAGGAUCCACGUCAGCCAUUUCUAACAUCCACCCUUUGUCAGGUUAUAUGUCUGUCCUACUGUUCUUUAUUGUAAAUGCUUUGUGGUGAUAGGGCUUUUUUUUUAUUAUUUCCUGGAAAGUUAAUUGGUUACCCCCAUAAAAAAAGUGCUUUCUGAAACAGUGAUUAUGCAUGUUGUUUUCAGCUAUGUGUUUUUAAAUUUCUACUUCAUUAUAGGUAAAAUAUGAAUCUAAUAAAAACAGUAAAUCCUUUUAGAGGAAUCUGAGAUGCCUUAAUAUUUGCUUGGUAAACCAAAGGAACUUGCAAAUUACAUACUGCAAACUUUUGAUAGAAAUAUUCUUAUGUUAUGAGUUUAAACACUUUCCUAUGUGUGAGGCACAUACACAGGAUGCAUAAAAACACAGUGCACACAUGAUGUAUGGAGACACAUAGUACAUACACGGUACACACAGCACACACAAUGCACAAACACACACACACACACACACACACACACACACACACACACACACACAGAGUUUUUCUAUACUAAAAUAUUUCUCAUUUAUUCCAAAUGUUCCUUUCCCAUUGUUACAAUAUUACCUAUCAUUUCUAAAUACUAAUUUGACUCCUCAGAGGAAAAUGCACUUAAACAGUUAUUCUGGACUGGAGCAGCCUGGAAGGGCGUAUUGUCAGAAAAUGAUACUCUGAGCUUGGGGAAGUGACAUUUGCUUCAAUGUGCUACUGUAUGGCUGCGAGAUUCCCUUUGUCACUUCAUCCUCUCAUCUUUCACUUAUUUAUUUUAUAAAAUGAGGUGACAAUAUUUCUCCUAUCAGCCUUUACUGCAAGAAUCCGUUGUUUAAAACAAAGGAAGUAAUGGGAAAGCAUUGUUUCCUCCAAUGUGCAAUGUCCCUGUGCAGAAUCUUACAUGAAGCUACUAAGGUGACACAGAACAGGCACUUCUUUGAAGCUUGCUGGCAUUGCAUGCUCUUCUUAGAAUUAUCCCUCUUCUUCAAAGAUGGAAAUUGAACCUGAGUGAAGAUUGUAACAUUGUUUCUUUUUGUUGGUAUUUACAAAGAAAAAGAUGGAACAUGGAAAUGAAUACAUUUUAUCCUUCCUUAAAAAUUAAAGUGAACUUACUUGGGAAAGAGAAUUAGGACUCAUCCCCUUCCCAUGUAAAAAUAAGCUUUCAGGUUUUGUCAAAUCCCAGUAGAGAAAAUAAUGAAAAAGCUGUAUCUUAACCCAAAUAUAAAACAAAAUGCAUAUAAUUCUUCAUUUAUAAUUUCUGAUCCUAUUAAGGGACUCUCUCUUGGUUUGGAUGGCAGAGAUGGAUUUUUAAUGGAAUUCCACUCUCUAUCUCAUCGAGCCAGGCAGCCUUUUCCAUUCCCAAGUAAAAUUUGUAAAAGAACAUGGUGAUGUUGCUGGCUUUGAUAUGGAUGAGUCGAGUCUUUCAAUAUGUGAUUUUCAAAGGACUGUGGAAGACAUGGCUUGGCAGUAACAUGUAGAAGGUAUAUGAAAAAUAGCAGAUUGAGUGCUAGAAUUUUUUACCACUUACCUACUAUUUUCGCAUUUUGCUGGGAUUUUUUUCUUAUUACCAAAGGUAGCAAAAUUGGAAAUCGAUGGUAUAGCUCUCAAGCAACAUUAAACCUUAGCCAAAUGCUGAUACCUUUCUAGUGUCCCACCCUUCUUUAGAGAUUCCAUUUAAGACAAGGUUGCUAUGUAAAAAGAAGAAUGGGGUUUUUUUUUAAGUUUUUCUGUAGGGUCUGUAUAUAUUGUACAUAUCAAGAAGAAAUCCGAAUGACUAGUGGAUUUCCUAUGACCAUUGUUAUUUCCAGUCAAAAUGUGGGGUCACACUUUCUCCAACCCCUGUGCUUUAUGGUACACAUAACAGAACUAUACCUUUUUUAUUUUCUGAUGACUCCAAGAAUUUGUUCCUAUAGUUUUCUUUUACAAGAUGGCUAUUCUCUUGUUUCCUGUUAUUUCUAUCAGUAUCAUCUCCAUGAGAUGUACACACUGUUUCAUAUUGAAAAGUCUAAAUUUUACUGUUUAAAUUCCUGUGUGUGUAUCCUAUGGUUAUCUGUAUGUAUGAUUUUCUAUUAUUCUAAUAAAAUUUAUAAUAAUCAAAUUGUUCUACAUUGUUUAUUGUGGUUUGGUGGAGGGAUAUAUCCACAUUGGGGAGUGGGGGCAUGCCAUUAGAGCGACACUGUUCUUACCAUUCCUCACACUUUUCAGCCUACAUUUGACUUUGCAUCUUUUAGACGAAUAUUUUAAUAUUUUUGUUUAUGCUCUUCUAAGUCAGUAAAACCUGUAAUUUGAUACAAUGUCUUCUACAUUCAGCAUAUCUCCUAUGUUCAUCAAAGGGCUUGAUAGAAAAAUUUAAAAAUAUCUAAAAUCAAAAAUAUCUAAUAUCUAAUAGACUUAUGAUGCCUAAUUUCUCCUCGCUUGAUUUUGUCAUUAGUAGAAUCUCACACAGUUUUGACAAAAGUGGUUUUUUGUUUGUUUGUUUUUUGUUUUGUUGUCAUUGUUGUUGUUUUUGUUUGGUUGUUUUUUUUAAAACAGUUUCAAUAUACCACAUUCUACAUAGAUUUUUCUCUUUGGUGUCAGAGGUAGACAUUGCUUAAAACGAUCGCUGUGAUAUAGUACACUCUAAAUAUCUGUAAACUUACUAAUGAUUCCUUUUUUUAAUUUGUAAACAAUUUCAGAAGUUAAUGUUAGUCUAAGGGAAAUGAGAACAAAAAUACUCCAGUCAUCUUUUCACAGUAGGCAUGGCGUUU
rnacentral:lncRNA from 1 species